CAAUGUGGUUUAAUUCGAUGAUACGCGAGGAACCUUACCCGGGCUUGAAAUGCAUCUGACCGGCCUUGAAAGAGGCAAUCCCUUCGGGGCAGAUGUGUAGGUGCUGCAUGGUUGUCGUCAGCUCGUGCCGUGAGGUGUCGGCUUAAGUGCCAUAACGAGCGCAACCCUCAUCAUUAGUUACCAUCAGGUAAGGCUGGGGACUCUAAUGAGACUGCCAUCGUAAGAUGUGAGGAAGGUGGGGAUGACGUCAAAUCAGCACGGCCCUUACGUCCGGGGCGACACACGUGUUACAAUGGGUGGUACAAAGGGCAGCUACCUGGCGACAGGAUGCUAAUCUCGAAAACCGCUCUCAGUUCGGAUCGGAGUCUGCAACUCGACUCCGUGAAGCUGGAUUCGCUAGUAAUCGCGCAUCAGCCACGGCGCGGUGAAUACGUUCCCGGGCCUU
rnacentral:rRNA from 1 species